AUACAGAGGGUGCAAGCGUUAAUCGGAAUUACUGGGCGUAAAGCGCGCGUAGGCGGCUUGGUCAGUCGGAUGUGAAAGCCCUGGGCUCAACCCGGGAAUGGCAUUUGAAACGGGCGAACUGGAGUGCGGUAGAGGAGAGUGGAAUUCCCGGUGUAGCGGUGAAAUGCGUAGAGAUCGGGAGGAACACCCGUGGCGAAGGCGGCUCUCUGGACCGACACUGACGCUGAGGGGCGAAAGCGUGGGGAGCAAACAGGAUUAGAAACCCGGGUAGUCC
rnacentral:rRNA from 1 species